UACAGAGGUCUCAAGCGUUUGUUCGGAUUCAUUGGGCGUAAAGGGCGCGUAGGCUGCGGGGCAAGUCGGGUGUGAAAUCUCAGAGCUCAACUCUGAAACUGCACUCGAUACUGCUUUGCUUGAGGACUGGAGAGGAGAUUGGAAUUCACGGUGUAGCAGUGAAAUGCGUAGAUAUCGUGAGGAAGACCAGUGGCGAAGGCGGAUCUCUGGACAGUUCCUGACGCUGAGGCGCGAAGGCCAGGUAGGGGAGCAAACGGG
rnacentral:rRNA from 1 species